rnacentral:rRNA from 1 species
CUGACACAGGUGCUGCAUGGCUGUCGUCAGCUCGUGUCGUGAGAUGUUGGGUUAAGUCCGUACGAGCGCAACCCUUGUCCUUAGUUACCAGCACGUUAUGGUGGGCACUCUAAGGAGACUGCCGGUGACAAACCGGAGGAAGGUGGGGAUGACGCCAAGUCAUCAUGGCCCUUACGGCCUGGGCUACACACGUGCUACAAUGGUCGGUACAAAGGGUUGCCAAGCCGCGAGGUGGAGCUAAUCCCAUAAAACCGAUCGUAGUCCGGAUCGCAGUCUGCAACUCGACUGCGUGAAGUCGGAAUCGCUAGUAAUCGUGAAUCAGAAUGUCACGGUGAAUACGUUCCCGGGCCUC